GGGCCGUUAGCUCAAUUGGUAGAGCGCCGCAUUUGCAAUGCGGAGGCAGCCGGUUCGAAACCGGCACGGUCCACAA
rnacentral:tRNA from 1 species